CAGUCGCCGCGGUAAUACGGAGGGUGCAAGCGUUAAUCGGAAUUACUGGGCGUAAAGCGCACGCAGGCGGUCUGACAAGUCAGAUGUGAAAUCCCCGGGCUUAACCUGGGAACUGCAUUUGAAACUGUCAGGCUGGAGUCUUGUAGAGGGGGGUGGAAUUCCAGGUGUAGCGGUGAAAUGCGUAGAGAUCUGGAGGAAUACCGGUGGCGAAGGCGGCCCCCUGGACAAAGACUGACGCUCAGGUGCGAAAGCGUGGGGAGCAAACAGGAUUAGAUACCCGGGUAGUCCUGUCUCUUAUACA
rnacentral:rRNA from 1 species